CCUGUCAAAGCGGCGGUGAAA
rnacentral:miRNA from 1 species